rnacentral:misc_RNA from 1 species
GAAGUAAAAGUCGUAACAAGGUCUCCGUAGGUGAACCUGCGGAAGGAUCAUUAAAAAAUUGGACUCCAUUGGUGAGUUCAUUAAUAAUCCCUACCCUUUGUGAAUUUGUUUGUUUGAAUAAUUUUUUUUCCAAAAAAAAUUAUUGAAUGUCUUUCCUUGUUUUGGUGGAGCUUGUAAAGUGAAACCAGGCAGGGGAAUGGCAAACAAUAAUUAUUUUUGAAAAAGACCUUUUUUUAAAAUUAAACUUUUUGUAUUCAUUUGUCUAAAAUUAAUUUUUAUAAUAUAAAAACAACUUUUGACAAUGGAUCUCUUGGUUCUCGCAACGAUGAAGAACGCAGCAAAAUGCGAUAAGUAGUGUGAAUUGCAGAAUACGUGAAUCAUCGAAUCUUCGAACGCAUAUUGCACUUUUUUAGUUUACUAAAAAAGUAUGUCUGUUUGAGUAUCAGUAAAAUAUUCUCAUAAAAAACAUUGUUUUUUUUAUGGUUAUGAGUGUUUUACAACGAUAACAAGUUGUUUCACUUUAAAUUCUUUGUUAUCAAAAAAAUCAUUAAAAGCUAAUUUUAAAGAUUUUUUAAAAUUGGAUAAAAUUUUCCCGUAAAAAGGAAUAACCUAAACAAUUUUAAAAAAUUAAAAUUGGUUUGAUUUUUUUUGAAACCCAAAGGAAAAAAAAACGAAAUUAACUUGAUCUCAAAUCAGAUAAGAGUACCCGCUGAACUUAAGCGUAUCAAUAAGCGGAGGAAAAGAAACUAACUAGGAUUCCCUCAGUAACGGCGAGUGAAGCGGGAAGAGCUCAAAUUUGAAAUCUUCAAGGUUUUACCUUGACGAAUUGUAGUUUAAAGAAGUGUUUUCUGUUGGAGUUUUGGUAAAAGUUCUUUGGAAAAGGACAUCAUAGAGGGUGAGAAUCCCGUAUUUGACCAUUAUCUCCAGCUUUGUGAUACACUUUCAAAGAGUCGGAUUGUUUGGGAAUGCAGUCCAAAAUGGGUGGUAAAUUUCAUCUAAAGCUAAAUACUGGCGAGAGACCGAUAGCGAACAAGUACCGUGAGGGAAAGAUGAAAAGAACUUUGAAAAGAGAGUUAAACAGUACGUGAAAUUGUCAAAAGGGAAGCGUUUGACACCAGUGUUGUUUUCUCGAAAAUCAAUUAAAAAAGGCCGGAUUUUGUGUUGUAUUGACUUUAUCAGCUUUCUGCACUCUUUUCUUGUCUUUUUUAAUGCACUUUUCGUUUAACAAGUCAACAUCAAUUUCUUUUGUUGUAAAAGGGUCAUUGGAAGGUGGCUUUCUUUUCGGAGAAAGUGUUUAUAGCCUUUGGCCUCUGCAAUCGGAGAGAUUGAGGUCUGCAGCGUAGAUCCUUCGGGGUUAGAUACAUUUGUGCUAAGUUAUAGCCUUUCAUAGACAACUUGUUGACUAUGAUCAGUCAUGUAGCUUACUCGCUUAUGCUAUUUUACCUACGCUUAGAUGUUGAG